rnacentral:rRNA from 1 species
UACAGAAGUCUCAAGCGUUGUCCGGAUUUAUUGGGCGUAAAGAGCUCGUAGGCGGCUUGUUGCGUCGACCGUGAAAACCCGUGGCUCAACUGCGGGCUUGCGGUCGAUACGGGCGGGCUAGAGUUCGGUAGGGGAGACUGGAAUUCCUGGUGUAGCGGUGAAAUGCGCAGAUAUCAGGAGGAACACCGGUGGCGAAGGCGGGUCUCUGGGCCGAUACUGACGCUGAGGAGCGAAAGCGUGGGGAGCGAACAGG